rnacentral:rRNA from 1 species
UAACAAGGAUUCCCCUAGUAACUGCGAGUGAAGCGGGAAAAGCUCAAAUUUAAAAUCUGGUAGUCUUUUUGGCUGCCCGAGUUGUAAUCUAGAGAAGUGUUAUCCGCGCUGGACCGUGUACAAGUCUCCUGGAAUGGAGCGUCAUAGAGGGUGAGAAUCCCGUCUUUGGCACGGAUUACCAGGGCUUUGUGAUGCGCUCUCAAAGAGUCGAGUUGUUUGGGAAUGCAGCUCUAAAUGGGUGGUAAAUUCCAUCUAAAGCUAAAUAUUGGCGAGAGACCGAUAGCGAACAAGUACCGUGAGGGAAAGAUGAAAAGAACUUUGGAAAGAGAGUUAAACAGUACGUGAAAUUGUUGAAAGGGAAACGCUUGAAGUCAGUCACGUUGAUCAGGGAUCAACCUUGCUUUUCUGCUUGGUGUACUUUCUGGUUGAUGGGUCAGCAUCAAUUUUGACCAGUGGAAAAAGAUCAGGGGAAUGUGGCAUCUUAGGAUGUGUUAUAGCCCUUGGUUGCAUACAUUGGUUGGGAUUGAGGAACUCAGCACGCCGUUAAGGCCAGGUUUCGACCAUGUUCGUGCUUAGGAUGCUGGCAUAAUGGCUUUAAUCGAC